GCGCGUCCUCGCGCGUGUGCAUGUAUGUAUGUAUGUAUGGGCGUGCGUCUGUGUAUUUUGAAUUUAAAAUGUUUUAACUCGGAAGGAUCUGGAUCACAGGUCAUUUCAUCUGAGAUCAAUCCGCACGCAACAGCUGGAAUCACUUACUCUUUCACACAAGGAAGGACACAAGUCACCCGUUUCCUCAAGUUCACGUCAGAGGGAUACAUAGCGAGACAGUCUCCGCUUGGACUGGCUGAGGAAAGUCUCCUAAAUGGCCCUGGAGAUGUUCUGACUGACUUUGGAGGCUUUUUGGACUGUUUUAUGCCCUCUAUUUAAAGACUUAAUUCUGUAUGUUCAGUCUGUAUGAUAAGUGAAUAAGUGAAUAAAAAGCUUUUGUUUUUAUGUGA